rnacentral:lncRNA from 1 species
UGAUCGAACUCUCCCCCAUGAUCACUUCUUAUUGAAGUGACGGUUGUGUCCUUUUCAUUUUGAACACGUUUAAGAAAACACUUAAAAUUAUGAAAAGCUUAACUUUUAUGAGCAAGAAAUAGUGUCCAUGUAAAUCUAGAAUAAUCAUCAACAAUUGCUUCCCUUUUUGACAAGAAUCGCAAAUGGAGUCUUUUUCAAAUUUCAAAAUUUGAAGACCAAUAACUAAAUUUUGUGAAACCAAUUUGUUUAAAAGAUGCAUGUUGAUGUG